UCUAUUUCUUAAAAAUCCAGAUUGAAGCGUUUACAUCAGCCAUUGUGAGUCCAGCUCAUGUGAGUCCACUUCUGAGAGCUGGAACCCCCACAGUGUGCCAGGUCUGCCCGUCAACCUGGACUGCAGUGAAUGGACCCAGAUUGUUCUUCCUGCCUCAAAUGUUGUUCUUUUCUUUUCCACCAAAGACUUGUUCCUCACCGGUUAUGGCCUGAUGUACUUAUCGUCCUUCUGUCUCCCUCUUGGGCCUUGCCAAAGGACUCAUUCUGCACUCCUCUCGCCCUUGGCAGAGGUUGGUGCCCUCCUCUUUGGUGGCACACAUCAGCAGGUCAUGGCUUCGCCCCAGCCCAGGGCCCAGGGCCCAGGAGCGACCUUGUCCAGCACGUCGUUGAACAGAUGCUCUGCAAACCCCGACUGGUUGAUGCAGUGGCUUCUCAUGACUCACCUCCAGAGCAGGUCGUGAACAUCCCCUUGUGUCCCAUGCAGCGUCCGGCAGGCCUUGGACGUGCGGCAGGAACAAAGUCAGGUGGGUGACAAGCCGGAGUCCUGUGAAGAAUGAGCCCAGAAGACGCAGUUCAGCAAGGGCACCUCCCAGGUAGUGGUGCAGGCAGCCCCGAGGACUGAAGUCCCCCGGGAGGCCAGGAUCAGGCUAGAUCUCCCCGAUGUCAAAUGAAGCAGACACGACGCACUCGCCGGAGUUGGACCUCGGCCCACUGCCUCUCAGUUGCCAACCAGCCAAGACAACACCUGCUUCUCAUUCUCUUCAGGGCAAGUGUGAAUUUUCCCCUUGUGCUUGCGCUUGAACCCUUCUCCCUGUUUGCUUUUUUUGACAUCUUCUAACCUCACUCUCGAAGGUGUCCGAGUGAGCCCCAACAUCUGCUCUUCACCGUCCAGGAUGGCCCUUGAGUUCUUGCAGCCAGUCUGGGAGGGUCCGGGGCGGCCGACUUUGCCUCUUGGGUUUUGGGUUCCUUUGUCUACAUUUGGCUGGC